AGUUUAAAGGUUAAUUACCUUUUUACCAUGGGAUGAUUUUUAUUAAGAAAUCCCAGUGAUUAUAUUAUGUUAAAUAGCUAUAUAUGUAUUUAUCUGUGUGUGUGUGCGCGCGUGUGUGUGCACGUGUAUGUAUGUAUGUAUAUAUAUAUAUAUUACAUUGUGUUGAGGGAGUUGGGGCAUUUUAUUUCCAGACUGAGAACAAUUAAUUGAUUUCUGUAAAAAAUUGUAUACAUUUCUCUCUGAUGACUGAAGUUUAAGGGUGAACGUAGUUUGAUUAUGAUCAAGGUGACCUCUGACCUUUCUUUAAUUCUACUAACCCGUAACCUUUUUUUUUUUUUUUUUUUUUUUUCCCUGCCUUCAGAGGUGUCGUGUCUUCGUGCUAAUUUGUUAAUUCUGUCAUUUCAAUUUUUAACAUUUUUAUAUACAUACUGAUUUGGGAGUAUUUUGUUAAUCUGUUGCCAUGGCAACGGUUUGUGGUUUAGUUGCGCAGCGCUUGAAUGAAGAGUGCGUUCAAAAGCCGUUAAUGGAGCGGACUCACUCUGAGGGAACGAGACGUCGCACAGGACGCAGAUACAACUGUACACCCCCCCCAUACGCACACACACGCACACACACACACACACACGCUGACAUCAUCACUUUUUAUACUGUCUGUCAGAUCCUUCAUGGAUUGUUGCGGUUUUUGUUUUUUUUUGAUCUGCGAAGCACUGUUUAUCUGUGUGAUUCAAAUGACGUUCCGGUGGACUGGACCUUGUUUCUAAUAUAACUGGUCUUCGCUGGCAGGCCAAGUACGAGUCGAGGGGCUUACGGAUCAUCCGUGUCAGCUGUCAUUUUUCACAUAACAACAUACGAGUGUUUGUCUAUAGUUCAGAGGAAAUAUAACUUUUUUUUGUGUGUGUAACCUGACUCUUUGUUUGAAAAGUGACCCGUCUUGUCUAUCUACAAGGACUUUCCCAGAACUCCAGUAUCUGUUGACAUUGGAUAGUACAGACCCAGCAACGCUCAAUAGUGUUUGCAAGAUUUUUUUAACUGGUUUCCGUUGUUCACUGUCGAAGACGUGGUUCCAGUUCCAACCAACAACGAUGCAUACUGUUGGGAAAGCCUUUGUACGGCCAAGUCCACGUCUGUCUGAAUGUGAUUCUCCCGUAUACAGUGAGUGUGACCAUACUCUGAUUAAAAGGUACAAGGAAACAUGAGAAUACACUGGGAAUGAAAAAUGUACACGUGCACUUGGAGCUUGAUUUCACUUACGUCUUUUCUAGUUCUUGUUCUUUCCUUUUGUUUUUAAAGAGUCGUCAUCGGGAGAUCCAACUCUACUGCCAUAAUGCCAGGAACAGUGCAGUUAUAUGGACAAUUGUAUAUGUGCCCAAUCACUGUGACUUAGUGACAUAAGAAAUUGACUGAGAAUUCUCCAGCAAGAAGAAGAUGCAUGCACCGUCUCUCAAGAUAUCUGUGGAUAUACAGUUAUAAUUUACUACUUUAAAUUUUUUCUUUCCAAUUAUUAUAUGGUGAAUGGAUUUUUUUAAAACACGGGGCAGCGUCAGGUCCUCACCCUGCAAAGCUAAAAAAAAAAGAAACGUCAAUGGCGAUUACUAGAUUCUCUUGUAGUUGUCAUUUGGAUCUGGUCUUUUCUCAGGAAUACUUUGUCGGGUGGAUAAGCUCUGGUUGUGAGGACCUUCCUCCCAGGCUGCAAACACCUCUGUUAAUAGACAAAUGUCAGCUAGAUAGGAACAUGAACAAAACAAUGAAAAAGAAGAUGGAACCAUAACCACGAACAUUCCUUGCUGGCUGACAGCUGAAUUAUUUUGGAUGAUAUGGAAAAGGUCAGUCAAUUUCCUGUUCCCUUUUCUGCUGUGCGUCCCGCUGGAAACAAGGUGUUCUAAUUUGGACUAAGUUGCUGUUGCCAUUGGUGUGGCUACUUGUGAUGUUGUAUUUAACAUGUGAAGGCCGGUCCAGAAA
ensembl:lncRNA